GAUGAACGCUGGCGGCGUGCCUAAUACAUGCAAGUCGAGCGAACAGACGAGGAGCUUGCUCCUCUGACGUUAGCGGCGGACGGGUGAGUAACACGUGGAUAACCUACCUAUAAGACUGGGAUAACUUCGGGAAACCGGAGCUAAUACCGGAUAAUAUAUUGAACCGCCUGGUUCAAUAGUGAAAGACGGUUUUGCUGUCACUUAUAGAUUGAUCCGCGCCGCAUUAGCUAGUUGGUAAGGUAACGGCUUACCAAGGCAACGAUGCGUAGCCGAACUGAGAGGGUGAUCGGCCACACUGGAACGGAGACACGGUCCAGACUACUACGGGAGGCAGCAGUAGGGAAUCUUCCGCAAUGGGCGAAAGCCUGACGGAGCAACGCCGAGUGAGGGAUGAAGGUCUUCGGAUCGUAAAACUCUGUUAUUAGGGAAGAACAAAUGUGUAAGUAACUAUGCACGUAUUGACGGUACCUAAUCAGAAAGCCACGGCUAACUACGUG
rnacentral:rRNA from 1 species